rnacentral:rRNA from 1 species
CGGACGGGUGAGUAAUGUCUGGGAAACUGCCGAUGGAGGGGGAUAACUACUGGAAACGGUAGCUAAUACCGCAUAACGUCGCAAGACCAAAGAGGGGACCUUCGGGCCUCUUGCCAUCGGAUGUGCCCAGAUGGGAUUAGCUAGUAGGUGGGGUAAUGGCUCACCUAGGCGACGAUCCCUAGCUGGUCUGAGAGGAUGACCAGCCACACUGGAACUGAGACACGGUCCAG